UGUAUUUAUUAGAUAAAAAACCAAUGCCCUUCGGGGCUUUUUGGUGAUUCAUGAUAACUUUACGGAUCGCAUAGCCUUGCGCUGGCGACGGUUCAUUCAAAUUUCUGCCCCAUCAACUUUCGAUGGUAAGGUAUUGGCUUACCAUGGUUUCAACGGGUAACGGGGAAUUAGGGUUCGAUUCCGGAGAGGGAGCCUGAGAAACGGCUACCACAUCCAAGGAAGGCAGCAGGCGCGCAAAUUACCCAAUCCCGACACGGGGAGGUAGUGACAAUAAAUACUGAUACAGGGCUCUUUUGGGUCUUGUAAUUGGAAUGAGUACAAUUUAAACCUCUUAACGAGGAACAAUUGGAGGGCAAGUCUGGUGCCAGCAGCCGCGGUAAUUCCAGCUCCAAUAGCGUAUAUUAAAGUUGUUGCAGUUAAAAAGCUCGUAGUUGAAACUUGGGCCUGGCUGGCGGGUCCGCCUCACCGCGUGCACUCGUCCGGCCGGGCCUUCCUUCUGAAGAACCUCAUGCCCUUCACUGGGCGUGCUGGGGAACCAGG
rnacentral:rRNA from 1 species